UUUGACCUGUUAACAGGCGCAGGGUUACUUUGACCUGUUAACGCGCAGAGUUGCUUUGGACAUCUGACAGGCCAUGUCAAAUUCCUUUUCCGGUUAAAGAUCUCGUCGAGAACGGGUGUGCGCGCAAACGAAUCUUUUGUAAGAAGUGCCAUCAUAGGAAAAUUCCAUUGUGAAACAACUCGACACGGUACGGAAAAGACAUACCUUUCGGUUGAUCGCGAUAUUUUGGCUCACGCACCCGCUGAUUCCCUUGCUCGUACAAGUGGAGUGACGGGGCACGGGAGUCUCGCGACAGAUCCCGCUCGGAGGAAAGACGCCACAGCUUCAAAGACCGGACGGUCUUUCGCUUAUUGCGUGGGGCAGCGACCCACGCUAUUUAAACGCACCCCAUCGUCCAGUCGCCGGCUAAGUAAGCCGCAGAGCGCAGUCAGCCGGGGGCUGGAAUAAGCAAACGCCUUCCCGCUUGGGACCCUUAGCCUGCGAGGAGCACCCUAGACAGGGUUAAACAGCAGCGCGCGCCAGGCGCGUGAAGAAGAAGCAGGAGCAAAUCAGGGAUGCUGCAGUGCUAAAGCCACCUGCGGCCAUCGUUCUCUUGGUUGCCCGAGCGCAGACCUUGCUGCAGUGCUAAAGCCACCUGCGGCCAUCGUUCUCUUGGUUGCCCGAGCGCAGACCUUGCUGCAGUGCUAAAGCCACCUGCGGCCUUCGUUUUCUUGGUUGCCCGAGCGCAGACCAUGCUGCAGUGAUAAAGCCAACUGCGGCCAUCGUCUUCCUGGUUGCCCAAUCGUCGGCCAAACAGAGGCAGAAUUCUCCGCCUUCGGCUGUCCUCUUCGCCCCGACUCUGUCCAGGAUUCCUCUUCCAGCAGCUUCAGGGAGCACAGUUCACCAAAUCAUAGGGUUCAGCGGAUGCUAGCCUCGUCUAUUACCAUCCUAAUGUUUAAAGUAUAAAAAUCUCACAAAAUUUGUAUAUUCAUGAAGAAUAAUUAUCAGCCAACCUCAUUAACGUUCAAGUUCCCACUGGGAGUUCGGGAAAUGUGUUCAGAAUUUGCAGUUAUAAGUAUUGUUAAGACAUCGCUAGUUUAAUUCAUUUUCGUUACACAUUCGUUAAACUCAUAUCAUGCUUAAGCAAUCUUUAUAAAUAUUCACAAGCUAUUGUUGUCAGUUAAGUUCGGAUUGAAUUGUCAGGGAGAAAAUUCCCCCAAAAGUUCUGUGGCUCCACAUACAAGGAGUAGGUCGAAGUUAGGAAUUCUGAGUUGUAGCAAGAGAUAGAGUCUUCGUACUGUAAACCACCUUUCCGAAUUAACGCUUGUUUUCAGCCUACGCCGGAAGAUCGAUCUUUCGUCGUUGGAAAUUGAACAGUGAGCGAGUAAGCAUACCUUCCAAAAGUUGAAAUGUACGUAGUUUUGAAAACCAACUGAUCCUUGCCCAACCUCGCGAAUUUGAAACCUCUGACCCCUGCCUAUUGAGGCUUUGCCUUGAGCGAUCUGAUCGUUGGCUAAUUAGAGAUGCUAUCUGCAUCCAGUCAUCGACUGAACUCCGCAUAGGAGAUCACGUUUUGUCAGCCAAACCGCCUCUUUGAUUUUCGACUCAUUCCGAGGUUAAAAGAUUUAAUGAUUUUUCCACAUUUGUGCGAAAAGCGAAAGUAACGAACUUAAAGUAUUCAAUGAUUUUCCCAUGUUAUGCGAAAAGCGAAAUUUAUGAAUUUAUUUAGAAUUUAACUCGAAUUACAGUCUUAUUAUAUAUAUACUCAUUACAUUAUCAAAUAUCCUUAUAUACCCAACCAUUACGAAUCACCUAUUUUGAGUAGUUAUUAAGAUCAUUUACUAUGUUGCCAUAUCGGAUUUAAUUUUUGUUUUAAGGAAAUAAUGUUGAAGUUUAGAUACAAGAAUAAAAUGGACUCAAUGCUA